rnacentral:rRNA from 1 species
ACUCCUGCGGGAGGCAGCAGUGGGGAAUUUUGGACAAUGGGCGAAAGCCUGAUCCAGCCAUGCCGCGUGCAGGAUGAAGGCCUUCGGGUUGUAAACUGCUUUUGUACGGAACGAAACGGCCUUUUCUAAUAAAGAGGGCUAAUGACGGUACCGUAAGAAUAAGCACCGGCUAACUACGUGCCAGCAGCCGCGGUAAUACGUAGGGUGCAAGCGUUAAUCGGAAUUACUGGGCGUAAAGCGUGCGCAGGCGGUUAUGUAAGACAGUUGUGAAAUCCCCGGGCUCAACCUGGGAACUGCAUCUGUGACUGCAUAGCUAGAGUACGGUAGAGGGGGAUGGAAUUCCGCGUGUAGCAGUGAAAUGCGUAGAUAUGCGGAGGAACACCGAUGGCGAAGGCAAUCCCCUGGACCUGUACUGACGCUCAUGCACGAAAGCGUGGGGAGCAAACAGGAUUAGAAACCCCAGUAGUCCC